AUAGACCACACUUGCCUUGAACUCACAGAGCUCUGCCUGCCUCUACUUCUUGAGUGCUGGGAUGAAAAGGGUGUGGUAUCAUGCUGGAUCAUAAUUUACUUUUUAAAAUUAUAUAUUUAAGAUUUGUGGUAAUCUCUAUAUGGUAACACAUGCCUGCAAUCCCAGCUACUUAGUAGGUGGUGGCAGGAGAAUCUUUUAUUUUUCUUUAUUAUUUUUCUUUAUUUUAUGUGUAUGUGUGUGUGUCCCUAAGUGUUUGUAUAUGUAUGUUCAGUGCCCACAGAGGCCAGAGUAGGAUAUUGGAUCCCUCCUGCUGAAGCUAUAGGAAGUGUUGAGUCAAUUGAGGGUGUUUAGCCUUGGUUAACAGCUGGAAGAAGAGGAAGUGUUCUUAACCACUGAGCCAUCCCUUCAGACCCCCCCCCUUGGGGGAGGGGAGGAUCUUAAAUUACUCCUCUUCCCAGACAGGAUUUCUUCCCCCCCUCUCCAAACAGGGUUUCUCUGUGUAGCCCUGUGCAGUCCUGGAACGGGAGCUGUAGAUUUGUACAUCCAUAAACCAGGCUGGCCUAGAACUCAGAGAUCUGCCUGUCUCUACCUCCUGAGUGCUGAGAUUAAAGGUGUGCACCACCACUGCCCCCAAAAGGAUCUUCAAUUCAAGCCCAGUUUGGGAAAUUAAGCAAAACUUGUUAUAAAAAUAAAAAGAAUACAAAUAUACUAGUACACACAUGAACAAAUAGACUGGGGACAUAGCUCAGCGGCAGGGCCUCGUUAGUGUGUAGGAGGCCCUGCACUCUAUCCCAGCAGUGGGGGAAAAGCAUGAUAAGGUAAAUAGCACAAGGCUUAUCAUCUUUGUCUUUUAAUGCUUAGUUUAGCUAUGUUAAGCCAUGCACAUUGUUAGGCAGGCCACUCCAUGCACUUGUAGAAUCUUCCAUUUUCCCACACUGAAACCUGUUUUCAUUCAAUACUCAAAGCUCACACACACACACACACACACACACACACACACACACACACACACACACACACAUGUUCUUUAUGCACUCUGUGACUUGACUCUUUUCAAAAGAUUUAUUUUAUUUUAUGUGUGCUGUGCCUGCAUGUGGUGUAUAUCUUGGUAUCUUUGGAGGUAGGAAGAAGGAAACGGAUCCCCUGGAAGUGGAGUUGUAGGUGAUUGUAAGCUGCUAUGUAGGUGCUGGGAUACCCACCAGUGUCUUCUGCAGGAGCAACAAGUGCCAUCUCUCCAUCAAUUACGGAGCGGCCGUGGUCCAGCCCUACUCCUGACCUGUUGUAAGGCCUCCUGCAGACAGGAUCUCACUGUGUCACUCUGUCUGUCCUGGAACCCUGUAUGGACCAGAUUGGACUCCACUCUCAGAGAUCCACCUGCCUCCACCUCCUGAAUUCUGGGAGUCAAGGCAUAUGCCACUAGGUCAGCUUGAAGAUAUCAUUUUUAAUACUGUUUCGUGGAGGCUGAUAUACUGGGACUCCGUGAAGGUCAGAAUACAACCCUGGUUCUGGCUAUGGAAGGACAUCUCUGGAGAGGUGUGGAGAACUGGGACCCCUGUCUGGAACAUGGGCAUCUUCUGGCCAUUUCCCUUCCUUGCAGAACUCUCUGAUGCUAUGACUACAGGGGCUGUGGAAGCAGCAGACACAGGGGCUGUGGAAGCAGCAGUCACGGAGGCUGUGGAAACAGCAGACACAGGGGCUGUGGAAGCAGCAGACACAGGGGCUGUGGAAGCAGCAGACGGGGCCAGAACAGAAGCCCCAAGCCUGCUGCUCUCCUCCUCUCCACAGAAGCAGGUCUGGCAGUACCAAUCUCUCCCGGAUGUCUGUCUGGCCUAUGUCAGUGAGCUGACUGCCCUGUGAUUUGACAGUAAUGAUUAUAAUGGGGGUGAUUCUGUAUUCUUUGACUUGUUUGAAUGGGAAGGUUUAGAAUGGGCCUCCCACCCCCACCUCCUUGCCUGAAGCUGGUGUAAUCUUCUAUUGGAGAGAAUGGAGUCGCCUCGCAAAAGGAGUGCCAUAGAGACAAGAUACUUAGAAUUUUCAACCUGCCGGUGAUGGCUGAAUUUUAUUUUUUUUCACCCUGGGGACCAAGAAUUAGUACUAUAAAAGCCAAGGAAUGUUGUAAAGAGCCACAGAAAUCUUCUGUAGGAGCUGGUGUGGGGGAGCACUCUUUCUUGGAAUUCUAAAGACAGCCGCAGCUGUUAAGUACACAGAGACAGGCUGAGGAUUCUCUCACACACUGGGCUAUAGUGGCUUUCUUCUUCUUGUUUUCCUACCAAAGGUACGUUCCCGUUUGUGCCUGCCUUCUGCCUUUUUUCCCCAAAUAGAUCUUGACAGUCAGACACAGAUUCUAUGCUGUGUGGAGUUGA